GAUGAACGCUGGCGGCGUGCCUAAUACAUGCAAGUCGAGCGAACAGACGAGGAGCUUGCUCCUCUGAUGUUAGCGGCGGACGGGUGAGUAACACGUGGAUAACCUACCUAUAAGACUGGGAUAACUUCGGGAAACCGGAGCUAAUACCGUAUAACAUGUUGAACCGCAUGGUUCAACAGUGAAAGACGGUCUUGCUGUCACUUAUAGAUGGAUCCGCGCCGCAUUAGCUAGUUGGUAAGGUAACGGCUUACCAAGGCAACGAUGCGUAGCCGACCUGAGAGGGUGAUCGGCCACACUGGAACUGAGACACGGUCCAGACUCCUACGGGAGGCAGCAGUAGGGAAUCGUCCGCAAUGGGCGAAAGCCUGACGGAGCAACGCCGCGUGAGUGAAGAAGGUCUUCGGAUCGUAAAACUCUGUUAUUAGGGAAGAACAAAUGUGUAAGUAACUAUGCACGUCUUGACGGUACCUAAUCAGAAAGCCACGGCUAACUACGUG
rnacentral:rRNA from 1 species